CUAUUAUUUUAAGUGUUAAUUAUAUUCACCAGGGUAGUAUUAGUUAUAAUCUUUAAACCCAAAGAAUUUGGCGGUAUCUUAUUCCAUUCAGAGGAACCUAUCCCAUGAUUGAUAAUACACGAUUAACUUUACUUAAUUUAUUUGUUUGUAUAUCUCCGUUAUCAGAAAAUCUUUUUAGAGUUUAAAUUUUCUAAAUUUAUAAUUAUAAAUUAUUUCAGGUCAAGGUGCAGCUUAUAAUUAAGAGGAGAUGGGUUACAAUAGAUUUUUUCUAUAACGAAAUUAUUAUUGAAAUAUUAAUAAUGAAGGUGGAUUUGAUAGUAAUUUAACAUAUUUAAUUUAAUUGAUAUUGGCUCUGAGGUGUGUACAUAUCGCCCC
rnacentral:rRNA from 1 species